rnacentral:rRNA from 2 species
CAAGGUUUCYGUAGGUGAACCUGCGGAAGGAUCAUUG